GCUGGGCAUGGUGGCGCAUGCCUGUAAUCCCAACUACAUGGGAGGCUGAGGCAGGAGAAUCACUUGAACCCGGGAAGCAGAGGUUGCAGUGAGCCAAGAUUGCACCACUGCACUCCAGCCUGAGUGACAGAGUAAGACUCUGUCUCAA
rnacentral:SRP_RNA from 1 species